UCCGGGGGACAGCGCGUGUCGCAGGCGCUUGGCAGCACACGGCCUCGGGAGGGGGAACAGACGCCAUGGGGCAAGCUGGGGCACGAGAAUGAAAACACCUUUGAGACAAUAAAGGAGUUGGAAGAGGAGCCAGUGUGUCCCAUUCAGUAUUCUCUAAGAUAGGCUUUUGUGCUGGCUUCAGCCAGUUCUGAGCUCUUUGGGGCUUAAAUCUCCC